rnacentral:rRNA from 1 species
UACGUAGGGUGCGAGCGUUAAUCGGAAUUACUGGGCGUAAAGCGUGCGCAGGCGGGUUUGUAAGCCAGGGGUGAAAUCCCCGGGCUCAACCUGGGAAUGGCAUUUGGGACUGCAAGGCUGGAGUGCGGCAGAGGAGACUGGAAUUCCUGGUGUAGCAGUGAAAUGCGUAGAUAUCAGGAGGAAUACCGAUGGCGAAGGCAGGUCUCUGGGCUGACACUGACGCUCAUGCACGAAAGCGUGGGGAGCAAACAGG